rnacentral:rRNA from 1 species
UUACCACGGUGUGGUUCAUGACUGGGGUGAAGUCGUAACAAGGUAGCCCUAGGGGAACCUGGGGCUGGAUCACCUCCUUAAACGA